AAUAAAUAAAUAAAUAACAUCUUUAAAAAAAAAAAAAAGAAAGAAAGAAAGAUCUGAGUUUGAAAUUUGGCUCAGCUGAUUUAUAACUGUGGGAUUUAGGAAAGUGAUCCAGCCUGUUGGAGCUUUGGUUUCUUCAUCUGUAUAAUGCUGAAUGAUGAAGAGCUGACUUCGUUUAGGUCAUGUCCUCCAUACAAAGCAGGCAUUGGCUUGCAAGAACCAGUGGCUAUUAACGAUCAAAACAAAAAUGGUAACGAUGAUGACCGCCUGACUCUUCUACGUCUAACUGAAUGCCCUGGGUCGACUGCCUUACUCAAAGUCUCAGUUUUCCCGUCUCUGACACAAGGAUGACAGCAAUUAUUUGGUAGAGCUGUUUGAAGAUCCAGUGUGAUAAAGAUGUGCAAAGCACACGGGAGGCCCUCGAACACAGGAGGAGAAGAGAGCACCAUUCUGAGACAAAGACAUAGGAGACGGUCCCUGAAGACAGAGAGAGAGGCUGGAGAUUUGCUGUCACAAGCCCAGGAAUCUGGGACUACAGAAAUCUGAAGACGCAAAGAAGGGCCCUUCCUUAGGGGUUUGAAUGAAGCACGGCUGACACCUUGAUUUCAGACAUCUGGUCUCCAGAAUUGCAACAGAAUGUGUAUUUAUCAUGUCCAGCCACCCGGUUUGUGGUCCUUUGUUACAGCGGUCACGGGAAGCUGACGCCCUGACCCCCCCUGCUAGUUAGAGUCCACUUGAGUGUGAGGUUUACUAACUUGUGAAACGAACAUUCUCAAAGUCCACCUUUAGAACUGACAAGUUGUUUACCCAAAGUGGGGGGGAUGUAUUAUGUGCUUAUGGGUAGAAUAAAAUGGAUAGAAAGG